rnacentral:rRNA from 1 species
GACGAACGCUGGCGGCGCGCCUAACACAUGCAAGUCGAACGAGCGAGAGAGAGCUUGCUUUCUCAAGCGAGUGGCGAACGGGUGAGUAACGCGUGAGGAACCUGCCUCAAAGAGGGGGACAACAGUUGGAAACGACUGCUAAAACCGCAUAAGCCCACGACCCGGCAUCGGGUAGAGGGAAAAGGAGCAAUCCGCUUUGAGAUGGCCUCGCGUCCGAUUAGCUAGUUGGGGAGGUAACGGCCCACCAAGGCGACGAUCGGUAGCCGGACUGAGAGGUUGAACGGCCACAUUGGGACUGAGACACGGCCCAGACUCCUACGGGAGGCAGCAGUGGGGAAUAUUGCACAAUGGGGGAAACCCUGAUGCAGCGACGCCGCGUGGAGGAAGAAGGUCUUCGGAUUGUAAACUCCUGUUGUUGAGGAAGAUAAUGACGGUACUCAACAAGGAAGUGACGGCUAACUACGUG